rnacentral:misc_RNA from 1 species
AAUGGCCUGAAAAUGGAUAUCUGAAAUCGACAGGAAGGCUCAAAGUUCAGGAAAAUAUUACUCGUAGAAAUCGCAAUACUGUUCCAAACUAUUUAACAAUUGGCACUUGAACUAGAUUAUAGGCAAUAUUUUUUGGGAAUAUAAUGAAUUCACAUUAAUAUCAUCUGAUUCUUUCAUGGUAAACUUGGCAAUUAAUUAAUAUGGUCAUUUGAAUAAAUACCCAUUAGAUGAAAGCUGUGCACAUCCUUUAAGGAAGCAUCCUUAUGACACACUAGAGAAGAUAUUAAUUUAGCAUCCUGCUAUGAAAGAGUGAUUCAUUCUCUCUUCCAUUCUUAGGAAGACUGCUUAGGUAAAUAAGAAUAAAUUACCUGCCGAUUAUGCACGUAUUCCAA